GAUGAACGCUGGCGGCGUGCCUAAUACAUGCAAGUCGAGCGAACAGACGAGGAGCUUGCUCCUCUGACGUUAGCGGCGGACGGGUGAGUAACACGUGGAUAACCUACCUAUAAGACUGGGAUCACUUCGGGAAACCGGCGCUAAUACCGGAUAAUAUAUUGAACCGCAUGGUUCAAUAGUGAAAGACGGUUUUGCUGUCACUUCUAGAUGGAUCCGCGCCGCAUUAGCUAGUUGGUAAGGUAACGGCUUACCAAGGCAACGAUGCGUAGCCGACCUGAGAGGGUGAUCGGCCACACUGGAACGGAGACACGGUCCAGACGCCUACGGGAGGCAGCAGUAGGGAAUCGUCCGCAAUGGGCGAAAGCAUGACGGAGCAACGCCGCGUGAGUGAUGAAGGUCUUCGGAUCGUAAAACUCUGUUAUGAGGGAAGAACAAAUGUGUAAGUAACUAUGCACGUCUUGACGGUACCUAAUCAGAAAGCCACGGCUAACUACGUG
rnacentral:rRNA from 1 species